UUGGACAGUUAACUAGUAACUGUAACGGAUUACAUUUACAAUGUAACCUAGGCAACCCGGACAGUGUAGUGCCUAUGUAGUGCACUAGCUUUGACCAGAGCCCUAUAGGGAAUAGGGUCCCUUUUGGGACACAGACCACUUCUCUUAUCAUCUCUCCUUUCUGUCUGCCCCUGUCCCAUUCCACUCAGCAUCACAACAGGCCAGCUAAUGGUCAGGUGUGCUGUUCUGUCCCCAUGCUGUUUCUCAACAGGCCAGCUAAUGGCCAGGUGUGCUGUUUUGUCCCCAAGCUGUUUCUCAACAGGCCAGCUAAUGGGCAGGUGUGCUGUUCUGUCCCCAUGCUGUUUCUCAACAGGCCAGCUAAUGGUCAGAUAGUCAGUUUGCUAAUGUAUCUUGGUUAGGUUCAUUCAUACACCCCCUUCUUACCCUAUCUCCCCCCUUCUUACUCCCCCUUCACAGGGCCAUUCUCACCUCCUCCUACCCCUGGUAACACCUCAGGUCUCAUUGGGCAUGUAACCCCCAAGACCAAUCACUGGCUGGGGAAACACCCCCCUCUAUCCUGAAUCAACCGAGACCCCACCCCCCACACCUAUACAUACAUCCAUGAUAAAUGAGAUUGCAGAAUUUGAGACUUUUACAUUGUAGUAUUUAAGCUCACUCCAGACCCUGAAACCGAUAGACUUGUGUUCAGUAAAGUGUGCUUCCUGCUGCUGGACUUGCCACAGAGGACGAUUCUUCUUCUUCUGGCUGUUUGAUGCCGUUACAGAGAAACGGACACUUUUACUGAGGGACAAAAUGGCCUCUUGGUCCUUCUUCCAAGAAGAGGAUUUCCUGUGUCCCGUGUGCUAUGAUAUCUUCAGGGAUCCCGUGGUUCUCUCUUGCAGCCACAGUGCCUGUAAGACCUGCAUGGAGGAGAACUGGAAGUAUAAAGACGGGAGUGUCCAGUCUGCAGGAAGAGAUCCUACAUACCUUUCCCAGCAGUCAGCCUCACUCUGAAGAGGCUGUGUGAGGGGUUCCUACACGUGGGAGAUCUACCUAUGAUAAUUAAUGUGCCCCAAAUUACACCUUAUUCCCUUUUUAGUGUACUACAUUUGACCAGAGCCCAUAGGGAUGAGUAUAUAUUAUUUAAAUUGUCAAAUCAAUCAAUCCUACAGGAGAGAAGCUCCAGAGAUGCAGAGCCUGGGUCUGAGAGGCUCUGUGGUCAACACAAAGCGGAACUCAAACUCUUCCGUCUGCAGGAUGAACAAGCCUGUCUGUUUGGUGUGUCGCGACUCAAGACGACACACAGGACACAAGUUCUGUCCCAUAGAUGAAGUCCAGGACCAGGAAGUAGGACAUGAAAUACUGUAUCGGGCUGUAUUCAAUCCGUAGCGCUGAAGAUCUGCUUUAUAAACGCAGAUCUUCCGCGAUACUUCGGCGAUACGGAUUGAAUCAGCCCAUAGCCUAUCUGAGAUAUUUGAAGGUAGAAUCGGUAAUAUGGCGUCAUUAUACACAGAGGGGUGAGUUACUUCCUGGCUACAGAAACCAACAACAACAUUAUUCAAAUCAGCCAAUGUCUGCCCCUAUUAGCUCUUCCCAAUGUGGGCGUGUCUCAAUGUAUGUAAGCAGGAAGUCGCCUCAGUAUGUUCAAUGAUGUCAUAUUACUGAAUCUACCUUUAAAUUACAAGGGAUUGAGUUGCUUUGACUUAUUGCAAUCAAUAUUGCUUAUAACAUUAAUAUUGUAUAACUUUGCAAUUCUUUGAGUUGACUUUACUCAAUUCAUUUACUGAGUUAGAUAGUUAUGUUUUACUGUGUACAAAGAGCCAUUCAUGUGUUUGUCUGAUUCCAGGAGAGAGUAAAGGCUGAACUGGAGCCCCUGAAGGAGAAGCUGAGACUUUACACUGAAGCCAAACUAACCUGUGGUCAAACAGAAAAAUACAUCAUGACACAGGCUGCAGAGACACACGGGGAAAUCAAGAAAGCGUUUUAACAUCUUCAUCAGCUUCUCGUGAAUGAAGAGGAGGCCGGGAUAGACGCUCUGAUAGAGGAAGACGAGGAGAAGAUGUGGAUGGUAAAGGAGAAGAUUAAGGAGAUUAGCAAAAUAAUCUCGACUCUUUCAGACAAGAUCCAAGCUGUAGAGGAGCAUCAUGUUAUCUUUCUGCAGAGAUACAAGGCCAUUCUACACAAGGCCAGGUAAAUGAGCUGCCUCCUGUCUCUCCUCUUCUUCUCUGCUCUUCUUUCCUCUUCUUUUCUCCUCUUCUUCUGUCCUCUUCUACUCCAUUCCUGACACCUCAGAGAGGUUCAACCUCUAUGAAGGGAUCCUGGGCUCUGAGGGCUUCGAUUCGGGAACACACACCUGGGGACGUGGAAGUCAGGAAUGAAUAUCUCCAGAGAUACGACUACAGCAGUGACUGGGCCCUGGGGGUGGUGGAGGAGUCUGUGUCCAGGAAGGGCGUGAUAGAGAAGCGAGGCUGGAGAUUAGAACAACAUGGAGGAGUUUACACCGUACGCUCCGUCCCCGAACCUCCCAUCACCCUCUCAUUGAAGCUGAGACAGGAGCCCUCGAGGAUCAGAGUGACUUUGGACUUGGAACGGAGGAACGCUGACCUUCUCUGAUCCGCAAUACAACGAACAUCUCCACACGUUCACAUACACCUUCACAGAGAAAUUCUUUCCGUAUCUGAGCAGUGGGUGUGAGACCUUUACCUUGAGGAUCUUGCCAGUGAAUGUCAAUGUAGCGUCUGAACAGCCCAGAUGACACCUCUGUGUACCACCUUUUGCAUAUUAAAAUCUCAUUAUUUGUUUUGAA